CUACGGAGGGUGCGAGCGUUAAUCGGAAUUACUGGGCGUAAAGGGUGCGUAGGCGGUUUGAUAAGUCGGAUGUGAAAGCCCCGGGCUUAACCUGGGAAUGGCAUUCGAUACUGUCAGGCUAGAGUAUGUCAGAGGUUGGCGGAAUUCCUGGUGUAGCGGUGAAAUGCGUAGAUAUCAGGAGGAACACCAGUGGCGAAGGCGGCUAACUGGGGCAAUACUGACGCUGAGGCACGAAAGCGUGGGGAGCAAACAGGAUUAGAAACCCUAGUAGUCC
rnacentral:rRNA from 1 species